rnacentral:rRNA from 1 species
GACGAACGCUGGCGGCGUGCUUAACACAUGCAAGUCGAACGGAAAGGCCCUGCUUUUGUGGGGUGCUCGAGUGGCGAACGGGUGAGUAACACGUGAGUAACCUGCCCUUGACUUUGGGAUAACUUCAGGAAACUGGGGCUAAUACCGGAUAGGAUCUCCUGCUGCAUGGUGGGGGUUGGAACGUUUCGGCGGUUGGGGAUGGACUCGCGGCUUAUCAGCUUGUUGGUGGGGUAGUGGCUUACCAAGGCUUUGACGGGUAGCCGGCCUGAGAGGGUGAACGGCCACAUUGGGACUGAGAGACGGCCCAGACUGCUACGGGAGGCAGCAGGGGGGAAUAUUGCACAAUGGGCGGAAGCCUGAUGCAGAAACGCCGCGUGCGGGAUGACGGCCUUCGGGUUGUAAACCGCUUUCGCCUGUGACGAAGCGUGAGUGACGGUAAUGGGUAAAGAAGCACCGGCUAACUACGUG